AGUUACACACUUUCUCUGGCUUCACUCAACCAAGAGGCAUCAGGAUAACUGGCAUCUUUCUGAGAACAGCAACUUACUGCUCAUGAGCCCUUCUGGCCCUUUUAGGUGAGGGCAGUUAUCUGCGAUGAAGAAGCAGUGUCCCAAGUGAAAGUAAUUCUCUCCUGACAACGACACAUUUCACACAAUGACAGUGAUGUAUACUUUUGACCACACAUCUGAGCAAGAACUGCUUUAAUUAAGGCCCUUGAAUCUUACACCAAUUCCUUCUCUAUUUGAGCUUAAAACUCAGGAAUGUAAUCGAUGACCCUGUAUUAGACUCCUGAGGAGAUAAAAGUCACCGAAGGUCCUCAUCUAAUUUGAGUGUGUGGGAGCAUGAGCUGAGAGCACGAGGAAUGGAUCCAGUCAGCAGCAUUCACAUCUUCUCCUAUUGCCCAUCACUUUCUCCAAAAGUGUGAGUGUAACAUGAAUAGGAAACUAGCAAUGCACCACUGAGGUAGCAAAAGCCAGACCAACAACAACAACAACAACAACACACACAAACCCUCAUCACUUCAUCACUGUAAAAACAAUGCAAACAGAGGUUUAAUGUAGCCCAAGGAUUUUACAGGAAAGAUGACAGUUUUGCCACAGCCACAGCUACUAUAGAAAGAUUAUAUUUUAUGACGGCGGGUUCUCAAGAUAAAUGUCUCAGCACAGACAUCUUCUGCUACAACAUAUUUAUUUCAUUUCUUUUCCUAUAUUGCUUUUCCUAUAAAACUUGAGAAUAGGUCUUAUUCUCCAUGUCUCUUCAGAUUUUAGAAAAUCUAGUUGUAUGUAAUUACCCUCAGAAUACUUUAUG